rnacentral:rRNA from 1 species
AAUGAACGCUGGCGGCGCGCCUAAUACAUGCAAGUCGAGCGAGAAGACGUAGUAAUACGUUUGUAAAGCGGCGAACGGGUGAGGAAUACAUGGGUAACCUACCCUAGAGUGGGGAAUAACUAGCCGAAAGGUUAGCUAAUACCGCGUACGCUCCUUGGACUUCGGUUCAGGGAGGAAAGCGAUGCCGAGGGUAUCGCGCUCUUGGAUGGGGCUCAUGUCCUAUCAGCUUGUUGGUGAGGUAACGGCUCACCAAGGCUUCGACGGGUAGCUGGUCUGAGAGGACAAUCAGCCACACUGGCACUGCGACACGGGCCAGACUCCUACGGGAGGCAGCAGUAAGGAAUAUUGCGCAAUGGGCGAAAGCCUGACGCAGCGACGCCGCGUGGGGGAUGAAGGUCUUCGGAUUGUAAACCCC